rnacentral:snRNA from 1 species
GUAGGAUAAGUGGGAGCUU